UCGAACAGCGACUUGGUCGAUGAAGUUGAGUGCUUGCAUUUAACUGAUUUGACAUUAAGACGAGUGGCGAACUGGUGAGUAACACGUGGGUAACUUGCCCCGAAGCGGGGGAUAACAUUUGGAAACAGGUGCUAAUACCGCAUAACAACAAAAACCACAUGGUUUUUGUUUAAAAGAUGGUUUCGGCUAUCACUUUGGGAUGGACCCGCGGCGUAUUAGCUAGUUGGUGAGGUAAUGGCUCACCAAGGCAAUGAUACGUAGCCGACCUGAGAGGGUAAUCGGCCACAUUGGGACUGAGACACGGCCCAAACUCCUACGGGAGGCAGCAGUAGGGAAUCUUCCACAAUGGACGAAAGUCUGAUGGAGCAACGCCGCGUGAGUGAUGAAGGGUUUCGGCUCGUAAAACUCUGUUGUUGGAGAAGAACGGGUGUCAGAGUAACUGUUGACAUCGUGACGGUAUCCAACCAGAAAGCCACGGCUAACUACGUGCCAGCAGCCGCGGUAAUACGUAGGUGGCAAGCGUUGUCCGGAUUUAUUGGGCGUAAAGCGAGCGCAGGCGGUUUUUUAGGUCUGAUGUGAAAGCCUUCGGCUUAACCGGAGAAGUGCAUCGGAAACCGGGAGACUUGAGUGCAGAAGAGGACAGUGGAACUCCAUGUGUAGCGGUGAAAUGCGUAGAUAUAUGGAAGAACACCAGUGGCGAAGGCGGCUGUCUGGUCUGCAACUGACGCUGAGGCUCGAAAGCAUGGGUAGCGAACAGGAUUAGAUACCCUGGUAGUCCAUGCCGUAAACGAUGAGUGCUAAGUGUUGGAGGGGUUCCGCCCUUCACUGCUGCAGCUAAAGCAUUAAGCAUUCCGCCUGGGGGAGUACGACUGCAACGUUGAGCUUCAAAGGAAUUGACAAGAGACCCGCACCACCCGUUGUAGCAUGUAGAUUUAAUUCGAAAGCUACGCUGGGCAACCUUAACAAGGUCGUGGACGUCUUGCGGCUAAACUUAAGAAGAUUA
rnacentral:rRNA from 2 species